CUGUAAAAGUAUACUAAGCAACAGCAUCUUCAUUCCAAACUGGAAAUUCUGUGAGCAGACGCACAGAUUUCUCCAUCUCAUCAGCUGCACUGAAUAAUUCUGUAUCAGAAUCCGCAUCGAUACUUUCGUAUGGUAGCUUAAAUCCACGCGUUUCGGCAUUGUUGUCGCUCCGCCAGUUUCUCUGGCUCUCAGCUGACAGCGCCAUUAUUGACACCUGCGUAGCAACACGAUCAGGGCGUGGAGAAAUACAUCAAAUGUGAAAUGGUUGAAUAUUUUCCCACCAUCAAAGCGAUAUUUUAUUGUCUCACACAAUUAACUCACACAAUUAACCAAUCCGAUUUGUGGAACAAAUGUAACUGGAUUAGAAUAAACAAUCAAAUGCUAAAUAUCACACCGAUUGGAACUCGAUAACGUAACAGUGCUUCUUUUCCAUACCGGAAACAUCAGACAUUACUGACACUGAACUAAUUGAAGCAGGUGGGCGCACAGAGAACGAGCAUUAUGUUCAGUGACAGGCUGAGGCACCCUCAGUGCAAGA